GUGCCAGCCGCCGCGGUAAUACGGAGGAGGCAAGCGUUAUCCGGAAUUAUUGGGCGUAAAGCGUCCGUAGGUGGAUAUUCGUGUCAGUUGUUAAAGGAUGCGGCUUAACCGCAUAAAGGCGAUUGAAACUGGAUGUCUAGAGUGCGAUAGGGGCAAGGGGAAUUCCCAGUGUAGCGGUGAAAUGCGUAGAUAUUGGGAAGAACACCGGUGGCGAAAGCGCCUUGCUGGGUCUGCACUGACACUGAGGGACGAAAGCUAGGGGAGCGAAAGGGAUUAGAUACCCUCGUAGUCC
rnacentral:rRNA from 1 species